AGUGAUGCAGAGCAAAUCCCCAAAAGCAGUCUUAGUUCGGAUUGUAGGCUGCAACUCGCCUACAUGAAGUCGGAAUUGCUAGUAAUCGCGGAUCAGCAUGCCGCGGUGAAUACGUUCCCGGGCCUUGUACACACCGCCCGUCACACCAUGGGAGUCGGUAACACCCGAAGCCUGUAGUCUAACCGCAAGGAGGACGCAGUCGAAGGUGGGAUUGAUGACUGGGGUGAAGUCGUAACAAGGUAUC
rnacentral:rRNA from 1 species